AGUCGAUCGGAGGCGAGUCUCUCGAGUAGGUUGUCGGAGCCUUCGGGACAGAAUUGCACCAUCCGGAAGCGAUUCUUGCGAGCAAAAGCGUGAACGAAACACGUGACUUACGUGAGCUAGGCUGGCGACCGCGAGGCCAAAUGUGAACGCUAUGUGAACCACCGUUGGAGGAUUGCUGGCCGUCCACGUGAUGCAGGAUGCACAUCCGAUCAGCACGAGAAGAAAGGUUCCCAGGGUUUCGGCUAACAGCAUCACCAAAAACUCGACCUUCGUCACCUCUUCGAGGCCGACGAAAUCUUUCGCGCCUGGACAGAACGAAGAAGAAGAAGAAGAAGGAGAAAGAGAGAGAGAGAGAAAAGGAAAAUAACGCGUAUUAUGUUGUCGAGCGUCUCUCAAUUGCAACAUUUUGUUGGUAAUUAAACGAUACACGCGAAAAGGAGACGCGUUUCACUCCCGUCCAUCCAUUAUUGAAACGUCAAAAUUCGUGUGUAUUCGACGAACGUAUAUGAAUAUAUAAAUAUUCGUCAUUGUCGGUGCCCACGAUUGUUGUUGUUGCUUUUUUUUUUCUUUCUUCUUUUUCCCUCGCGAAGAAACGUCCCAUACGCAUGUAUACUUGUUUGUCGGUGCAUCGAUCAUCGAAAUACGAGGUACGAAUUUUUAAUACAUUGUACAAAAGGUAUUUGCCUUUCGUCUCUCUCUCUCUCUCUCUCUCGUCGUUUCCUUUCUCCUUUGAUUCUUUUUUGGAAAAAAGAGGGAAGAGAAAUUAUGUAAUCCACGAGGAUGGACGACGUGGGUGACGCGAAUUUGCAGUGUUCUAUAAAAGCAAAGGAGAAGAGGGGGAGGAGAAGAGAUUUUUUCUCGAUACGAAUGUCGAAAUUCUAUUUCUGUGUUAUGCAACGUAUAGAAAUAAUACACAAAAAUAUCUUAUAUAUUUGAUAAAUUGCGAAUUAAAUUGUUGCAUUUAUUGUUCAUCGAAAAGUUUGUUUAUCGAAAAUAUAUACAACAAAUGACAAGAAAAAUUUCGAACGAAGAAAAUUGAAAGAACCGAAAUAACAUAAUAAUACAGUAUUUUUUUUUUUUUUUUUUUGACUCUCGACGAUUUUAAAAAAUGGAAAGAGAAGUAGCUUUUGGAACCACGUACCUUUCCAACCCUUGCCCAUCCUCCUCUCGAUACAAACUCACACGUUUCCGCGCACCACACACACUCCUUCUCCUUCGAUCCUACCACCCUCGCUUCUCCCCUCGGACAAGUUCGACAAUCCUCGGAUCGAUCUCUCUCAUCGGUGCUCGGCCACCAUCUCGCCCAAUCGUGUGCGAUCGCGGGGAGAAACAAUCCUCCCCACCCCCUCUCUCCCUCUUUGUCCAAAGACAAAGGAGGAUCUUUCGAAACGAGAAGACAAUGGUGGACGAGCUUAUCACCCCGUUUAUAUCUCCGCGGUUUUAUCAAGCGUAAAUUGGGAAACUGGGAAAUCGAGCAACGGUUUCGUUUGAAAAUGAUCGAAUACCUUCUCUGCGUAACGGGAAGGAGAAGGAAGGAACAGGAAGAAGAAAGAAGAAGAAGAAGAAGAAGCGAAUGUGGUGCACUCGAACUCGCGAUUACUUCCACGAUACACCACGUGGAGUCUCUGGGCUAUUGAGUCU